GGUUCCUAUCUUCUUCCUGCAUUGUCAUGUGUUGGAUCAGUGUGUGUUGUGGUUCUACUGGUGUUACUGGUUCUGAUGGUGAGACGAUCUGUUCACAGGAGACCUGAAGCAGUGAGAACUGAAGACGUCAGUUAUGGACAAAUCAUCAUCAACGACAAGAAAAACAGAUCAAAGCCGAGAGACUUUAAACCAGAGCCAGACGGCAUCUACUCUUUACUGAAGUAGUCCACCAGUCCAACCACUGACGUCCAGCUGCUGGUCUCUAACUGGUCCUCCCAGCACCUCAGACCAGAGGACAUCCACAUGUUCAAAAUAUUUUUUAACAUAUUUUAUUUGUUUUUCUCACUUAUUUAGACUCAUAUUAUUUAAAAAAAAAAAAAAGCUGUGGCAAGCGAGAGCACAUAUCCCCUAUACUCGCCUCACACUGGCUGCCGAUACGUUUCUGAAUUGAUUUUAAGAUCUUGACGCUGGUUUUUAAAACAUUGCAUGCACUAGCCCCUAUAUAUCUUUCUGAUUUUCUAAGUUGGUAUACUCCGGUGAGAUCUUUGAGGUUUGCGGACCAAAUGCUUCUAGCUGUCCCCAGGUCUAGGUUAAAACACAGAGGAGAUCGGGCUUUUACUGUGACUGCGCCGAAACUGUGGAAUAAACUGCCUUCACAUAUCAGGACCUCUCCAACACUGGAUACUUUUAAAACUCAUCUAAUGACCCAUUUUUACUCCUUGGCUUUUAAGUCGGUAUGAGUCUGUCAUUAUUUUAUUCUUAUUAUUUUCUUAUCUUGGUUUUACUUUCCUUUUAAAUUUUAUCUGAUUAUUCUUUUGUACAGUUGUUUUUUUUAAAGUGCUAUAUAAAUAAAAUUGAUUUGAAAAAUAAAUAAAUUAAAAACACAUAUCUUACUGACUUUUUCUGCCAUGGUUAUGCCAGAUUAAUAAAGUUUUGUUUUCAUUUCUUUUCCUCGUGUGGUUCUGUUGGUUUCACU
ensembl:lncRNA